rnacentral:sRNA from 1 species
ACACGAGAAAGGAGGUGGUCUGAAUUGAAGUAUCGGACACGUGAGGUGGCUGCGCGCUAGCCGCUGUCAUCGACGACGGGAUUGUCGACCGCUGCAGCGGCCGGCGAAUACCACGCAGUCACCCGGCCCCCGAGCCUCCCGGUCCGUCCGACCGGGAAUCGCCGAGACGAUCCGUCCCGGCGUAGCGCUCGGGGGCCGUUCGCG